AACGAACGCUGGCGGCAGGCUUAACACAUGCAAGUCGAGCGCCCCGCAAGGGGAGCGGCAGACGGGUGAGUAACGCGUGGGAAUCUACCGUGCCCUACGGAAUAACGCAUGGAAACGUGUGCUAAUACCGUAUACGCCCUACGGGGGAAAGAUUUAUCGGGGUAUGAUGAGCCCGCGUUGGAUUAGCUAGUUGGUGGGGUAAAGGCCUACCAAGGCGACGAUCCAUAGCUGGUCUGAGAGGAUGAUCAGCCACAUUGGGACUGAGACACGGCCCACACUCCUACGGGAGGCAGCAGUGGGGAAUAUUGGACAAUGGGCGCAAGCCUGAUCCAGCCAUGCCGCGUGAGUGAUGAAGGUCUUAGGAUUGUAAAGCUCUUUCACCGGUGAAGAUAAUGACGGUAACCGGAGAAGAAGCCCCGGCUAACUUCGUGCCAGCAGCCGCCGUAA
rnacentral:rRNA from 1 species